AUCCCAUGAUGAGGGCAAUUCUUGAUCAUUAAAUUGAACCGUUCAAAAGCUUCAUCGAACAUUUCACCUUGUUGUUGUUGGAAGCUUCUUCGUGCAUCGUUGGUCU
rfam:Helianthus annuus linkage group 10, whole genome shotgun sequence.